GCCCCACGCUAAGCCGGCCAGGCCACACCCCGAGUCCCCUCCUCCCCCUGCCCUCCGGCCUCGCUGGCCCCCUCUCCGGCCCCAGGCCCCAGCCCUGCCUGUCCGCAGGUUAGCAUUGGCUGUCCGACCGCCUGCCUGCAGUGCUGCUCCCCCAGGAAGCAGGCCCCCCGCCUCACGUCCUCCAGGGUUUGUGUCUGGGGCUCCUCCGAGGGCCCAUGACGACCCACCUAGAACCCCCCCAGCACCCACUUUAUUUCGCCGGCGGGGACGAGCGUUCAGUGACUCACUGUCGCGCAGAUGCUGCUGACGCGGGGUCCAGAUACAGGAACGGGGAGUGUAGGGACGGAUUUCACCGUUUCAGCUGCUCGGCCGUGGAUCCCGUAACACAGGGGCCUCGCGUGGGUCCGAUUUUCGGAGAAUCCACCCCAAAACCUCUGCCUCCGACUCCUCUUCCAGAGCAGACCGUUAGCGGCCUCGACUGUAUAAAGUCCUUCAGGUUAUCGAGGGCUUGUCGAUUUCUAUUUGGGAACUUACGCUUCCGGAGAGAGUCGUGCGUGGGACCCGGGCCGCGUGCUUUGUGAGGUUGCGGCCCCAACUCUCCACACCCCACCUCCGUGGCCUGACAUCCAUCUCCGCUUUUCCUUUGUCUGUGUCUGCGUUCAGUAUGUUAUUCUUUCCUCAAAUCUUUAAAUGACGUGCCUGGUUUAUGUAAUUCCAAUCUUUUUUGGUAUCUAAAAUACUUUUAAUCCCAAAGGUGUUGCUUGGACGGAAUCCCACAGGAACGGACCAGGAAACAGCGCCUUCUCCCUACGGCCGCUGUUUGCGGGUCCCACGUGCUAGUUCUCUGCUUGCUGCCUGGUUGUGCUGAGACUCCAUCGGGAGGUGUACCUGUUUGUGUUGGUUCUGUCUCCACGUCUCCCAUUUCUUGGCUCAUCGCCGGCGCCGUGCAGUCCACGCGCGCAGGAAAGCGUCUCAGCUUUGCCGACCCCUCCGCGUGCUGCUGUCUGUCUGGACGUAGAGCCUCUUUCCUGCCAAGGGGAAUCGUCGGAACCCGCUUGGGAGAGCAGGCCGGGGGUUCCUCUGUGAAGUUUCGUGGGACUGCAGACCCGCCGUGAGGUCUGACAGGCCGGUUCUGUCCCGCCCCGCGGGGCGGCCCCAUCCCCCGCAGCCGCAGGGCCUGCGGGGCCCAUGCGCUCUGCGGGGAAAUGCGGAACCCUGCUUUCACGGCGGGCGGUUCCAGCAGGCCCGAGUGCAGCCGGGCGGCCAGCGUGGUGGCGCCAUGGCGGGGCCUCCGAGGAAGGGAAGGCCCACGCCUCCAGGGUCGCGGCGGGGGGGGACGGAGGGAGCAGUGGGACAGCAGGUGCCAGGCACCACGGCCCCCCGACAGGUGAGGAGGUGCCUCUCCGUGGCCCAGAGGGAGUGCAGUAACUUCGUGACCUUGAGCACGGUGGCCCCGCGGGCCUGGAGUGAGGCGCCUGGGACAGCAGUUUGGCCUGCAAGGACCCCCCACCACACCCGUGUGUCGGGCCCCAUGGCUGGGGCCGAGGGCCGGUCAGAGCAGCCCAUUCCGAAAGGCCCAGGAAAUCGCAGCGAGGCCGAUCCGUGGGAGGCAAGAAUCCCUAGGAGUGUCCCGUGGUUCUCUGGUCCCUGGGGCCUUGUAGGGGCUCCCAGUGCCCGAGCCCCUCUGCAGCCCAGGGCAGGCACCCACUCAGCCGCGGCGGGCGCUGACGGAUCCGUCCUCACAGACCAGCCUGCGGGAUGCUCACGAGCCCCCCAUCUCCCGCUGCUCCUCCCGUUCAGAUCUUGGGUGGCAGCCCAGUGUUGACGGUGGCCCUGAUUUUGCCGCGUGACACCCCAGUGUUCCUCAGACCCGCCAUGCACUGUGACCCCAGGAUUUCCCUGGCUGACACGGUGCUCAGAUACACCAGCUAAGGGACACGCAGGGCUCCACAGUUGGUGAUACCUGUUUGGCACAUCCUGGACCUUGGCUUACCUGGGCAGGGCCUGGACCCUCCCUGCGCACACCGUGCCCUCCCCAGCCCCGUGGUCCCCAGCUCAGCACAGAGGAACGAGUCCGCACACGGGAGGGACGCUUCCAGGAAGGGGGCAAGGGCUUCCUGGAGGAGGGGGCACUGGGCACGACCUUGGGGAAGGAGCCCACCGCCCUGAGGCUGGGCCCUCUGCUCUUCUGGGCAUGUGCAGCACCCAGGGCCCCUCUGGCCACGGGGGUCCAGUGGCCUGUCUCCCCGUGGUCCCCAUGAUCUGGAUUUGCUGCCACAGAGGUCCCCUGGCCUGAGGGUCUCUGAGAACCCACCAGGGAAACAACCCCUGUGGCUUUUCUGCAGCUUUGCUCUCCACACGCGGGUGUGGGAACCCUGUGGAUGCGGCCGUGGGAACCCCCCGUGGACACGGGCGUGGGACACCCCCCACCCCGUGGAUGCAGGCCUGGCCACCCAGGGGCUCACCUCGUCCUGGCCUCAGACUUCCACUUGGAGAGGGUGGUCCCCACGGCGGUGAUGGGCACUGCUCCCACGCCCUUCCCAGCAGUGACCUGCUCUCACCUCCUGCACUCAGCGAAGACCUCCCCAUGGGACAUCAAGUGCCCUCGGUCAGCCCUGAAAAGUGUGAUGUCUCAUCAUGGUUUCUCAACAAAUUGCCCUGAGUACAAUGAAUCAGCUUGCCUACCUUCGAGGCACAACGUUUAGAAGGUCUGUGGUUUUUACACCUGGGAGGAAGAAAAAGAGAAAUCUCCCAGGUGUUUUCAUGGUUCCAAAAAAGGAGAGAUUCGUGGCCACAGGUAUGUCUGGAAACCCUGCCACCUGCACAAAGCUUCUUGUGGAAUUUGCCAGGAAUGUUCCGCGCGGACAAAGGAGGAGCUCCUGCUUUUCUUCCCAGGGGUUGUAGGAGAGUCAGCGAGCCAGAUGCAGAGCUGGGAUCAUGGGCCCACGCAGUGAUGGCGGAGACCCCGAGGCGAGGCAGACGAUGGGCCAGCGCCGCUCUCUGAGCCACGGGAGCGCAUGGACGUGCCGGCCCCACGGAUGGGGUGGGUGAUGUGGCCCCGGGACAGCCCCCUGGAGCUCCAGGCCACUUCUGUGAGGACAGGACGGGGGUGUGUUGGUGACGGCAGGCCACGGAGGGGGCUGCACAAACACGUCCGAGAUUUCUCAUAGACAAGACUGCCCUGCUUCUCUGUGAGUUCUCAGGACUUGACGCUCAGCCGUAGGGAAGCGCGUGGGUUUUUACGAAGAAGGGGUACCAUACUCUAGUUCUAGGUGGUGAGCACAUCAACCAAUGGGGGGGCAAGAUCAGGCCCAGGAGAUGCGCCAGCUCUUUUCUCAUGAUGCUUUAAUAUAAAAGCCUGUAUGUUCAUUGCUCCCACUUUUCUGGUUAAUCGGCCUUUUCCUUCUUGUCCCAUUCAACAGUUUUCGUAUCCACGUUCACAGGCCACCUCAUACCUGUCCACACCAAACAGUAUGUUUAGAAGAUCCCCGUUUAGUGCAUAACCACAUCUCACUUAGACACAUCCUGUGGGUGGCAGAUGAGACCUUGGUCAUGUUGCCACUACGUUUUGGCUUCAAGAAAAGCUGCCGUGGCUGACGAUGAGCCAAGAGGAGUGAGGCGAGGUCCCCGUGGGCCCUGCGGGACACACGGGAAGUGAGUGACCAGGAAGGGGCCUCCCCCGCCCUCCUGGCCCCGACCUCACACAUCCAGCCUCCAGAGCCGCGAACAACACACCUGUGUAAGCCGCCCGGCACGUUGUGCUUUGUGACAGCAGACUGAGGGGACUAGGGCCCCUCGGGGAGCAGUUUUGUGCUAUUGUAAGAUCAUCUGAGCUGUCGUAAAGUCCUGCUUAUAAACUAAAGAAAAGGGAGCAGUUAUGCACCUUACAAGUCAUUUACAAAAUGUUUAAUCAGGUGAUGAAACGACCAGAGGAUUACUAAAAUGCCCACUCUUCUUAUACCCCAAAAUAACUCUAAACCUUGGUAAGAAAGACUCCAAAUUUGACAUUUAAAAUGAAUAAUAUUAUCACUAGGAAAAACCAUAUAGGGCUUAUUAAACAUGGGGACUGUGGUUUGGCUCCCUUUAAAAGAAGGUUUAAUUAGUAGGCUUUGCUUUCCUUGUUAGAGCAGAAAGCGAGCGGAGAAGGCUGAGCUCCCACGUCCCCCACACGGCUCGUCCCCACUGUGGCGGCCUGUGUCUCACGUCGGCGGGGAGGGCUCACCACCUCUGCGAGUCUGUUGACACAGGAUUGUAAACCGAGGUCCCCAGCUUACAGCAGGAUUCACCCCUGUGUCUGACAUUCUAAGGGUACGACAAACUGACAAACAUCCACUCGUUUGGCUCCUGCGUAUUAGGUGCAAAGCCAAACGGGGCCUUCCAGAGAUUCGAAUGUGGGGGCAAUCCUCUUUGUUAUAUUUUUCCUUCUGAAAACAUGACCUUUAAGGGAAUGUUUUAACCACUGGCCACAGUUCUGCACACACCCACGAGCACGUUGUCUUAUCUAUUGCAGGGUGUGUUGCCAAUUUGCCGACGAGUAGCUCAGAGCGGUUUUUCCUUCUGAGUGUAAGCGUAUACUCACAACAGAAUCUUCGAUUCAAGCUACAGCUUGGUUUCGUGCAAGCGUUUUAGUUUUCCGGGCUAUAAUCUCUCCCAUGUGAACACCUGCACCCAUCCGUUCGUGCGUUUGCUCGCUUGUCCGUGCUUUCUGCCCAGGUGCCCGUCACCCUACAGACUGAGGUUUCAGCCCCAUCUCUUCUCAGAAAGCACAGGCUUUGUUCAGACAGACCCAGGCUGGGGCUAGAGUCAGCGCAUUGCUCACACCAUCGUCACCUCUGGUCCCACCACUGUGGCUUCAGGCGGUCCCAGGACAGGAAAGGGAGAGGAACAGGGAGCAGAGGGAAGAAAUCAACAAGUGGGGAUUUCCUGCUCAUCCGAGUGAAUCAACAGCCCCGUUAUCCCUGGGAAUUUAAUUUUAGCUCUUAAAACUUGGUCUUUUAUACUAGUAUAAAUACCAAAAUUAUAAAAUGUGCAAAUUUGUCUAGAUGAAAAUUCCUAUGUUGCUCUUGACAUUAUUUCCCCCCUGAAAGUCACAAGCUGUGCACCGUAUGAAAGUGGACAUUCUUUCUUUCAUUCGUUCUUUCUUUCUUUCUUUCAGUGGACAUCCUUUCGUUGUCAGUGUAUCUGAGGUUGACACAGGAAAAGUAUUUAGACACAGAAAAGCUGUUUUAUUCCUAAUUGUUCCAGGCAUCUAAAUGUCGGGAAACAGCCCUGUACUGGGGCCAGGUGCUUUGUGCUCGGAGGACCACCGGGCGUGACACUGCUGAGACGCGGGAGGCUGGGGUCUGGUCCGGUUUACCCCCAGUGGCAUCUCCCAGAGCACAGCCACCACCAGCUAGGCGUUGCCGGGGGCCCUUUGACCUGCCAGCACACAGGUGAGGGGACAGGCUUGGCCACCCUCGUCCUGCCCCUCGAUCUGCCCCUACCUAGCUGGCACGUGUAAUCUCUGGGGGGGAGAAGCAGAUGCAGUGGAGACACUUCGUAGGCAAGGCGCUCCAGAACGUGCACCAGAGUCACCCAGAACUCCGAUGAUGUUCACAUCUGACCAAUUCCCAGUCCACACCUAAGACUGGAACGCACACUGAUUAGCCAUUCUGGAACACACCACGCACACCUGAGUGCAUGCCAGGCUGCCCACCCUGUCUGGGUGUGCCUUGUUCACAGCAACACGCAUGCAAACUCAGCCCCUCUCCAGAGGGACGCUCUUUUUACUAAACCUUUCCUUCUGUAUUCUUUCAAGCUUCAUGACAACAAGCACGGAGAGGGGGGUAAUUGUGCAGAAAAUCCAAAUGAAGCUACAGAUAAAUGCUGAGGAUUGAGAGUGAAUUUAAUGAAGGCAUGGAAUUGGGGGUCGGUGAUAAAGAUGUUCUAGAAUUGGCUGGGAUGGUUGCCUAAUUCUGUGAAUAUACUGAAAAACAUUGAAUUUUAAAUGGAUGAAUUACGUGGCAUGUGAAUUAUGUCUUAAUAAAGUUGCUGUUUUGAACAGUGAGUUUAGCAAGAACGCUGGAUAUAAAAUAAACGCACAAAGGUCAACUGUACUUAUAUAGACCUGUAACAAAUAAUGAGGGAAAUAAAAAGAGACUUUUAAAGGGACACCAUCUCCAUAGCAUUGAAGAAAUAUCAACUAUCCCUAAUAAAUCCCACAAAAGGUUCUGGAAACUAUAAAACAUUUAUUAAGGUAGGUUAAGGAAGACCUAAC